CUGUCAAAGAGUUAUUUUUAGGGAGUGGAAACAGGCAGGGAACGCUAAGAUAUGUCAAAUUGCAAAAGAAGUGGACUGAAAAAUCGCUGUCAGUAUGUGAAGAGGAGACAAGUCCAACAGUGAGUGUCUACAGCCAUCUGUAAAACAGAGUGGAGGCUCUGUCAUGGUUUCAGCCAGUGGUGUUGGGGAUCUUGUCACAGUUGAUGAAAUUAUGAAUGCAGGAAAAAAAAAAACAUCAGAUUUUAAACCGCUAUGCAAUAUCAUCUGGAGAGUUUCUGACUGGCAAUGUGUUAACACAUAGCCCAGAGCCCAGACAUCAACAUUAUCGAACCAGCAUGGGAUCAUCUUGGCAAGAACAGAACAAAAGGCAGCCAACAUCCAAAGAAGAGCUUCGACCGUCCUUCAGAAAGCCUAUGUGGCCAACUGAGGGAGCGAAAGAGAGAGAAUCAGCCAACAUCCCUCUCCUCCUCCCCCUCCUCCUCUUCCCCUUCACCGCGGCCUCUUGCACAUGAAAGGGACCGUGCAAGGCCAAUGGAUGGUCGGUGGGGUGUGUGCUAUGCGAGGGCCCCAGACCCAGACACAACACAACACACAGCUCCACAGGCCACCACAGCUGUGCUGGAAUGUGACCUGUUUCAGAUUUUAAUGCCAGACUCGGCCCUGCGUGUGUGUGUCUGUGUGUGUGUGUAGAAGGAGGAGGACAUGGAUGGAGGGACGUCAACUACAGAACAACAUGCACUGCCCGCCUUAACGCUUUGACAAAUUGUAGCCGUGUCUGGUAUUUCUCCUUCAGAAGAGGAAACUGCAUUUUUAAAAAAUCAAGAAGGAAGGAACAUUUUUCAAGAUUAGCUUUAUUUAUUUGCUAUCAUGUUUUAUACAUGUUUUAAUGAACAUUAAUGUAGGAUAUCAUAGACAAAAUAAAAAACAUAUCUGGUCCCUAUGCAAUUAGAUCAACAGAGCUAGAUCAGUAAAAAUAAAUAUGAAGUACACAAGUCCACGUACACAUGGAAACUCAAAAAAAUCUAAAAAUAAAAAAAAUUGUCCGGAAAAUGGAACCGAAGAGCUUAUUUGAUUCUGGUUGAUAAACUGAGGCAUUAUAGUGAGCUUAAGUGCUGAGGACAGAUGUUACAAAAUAUCAACUGUGAGAUACCCAUCAAAAA
ensembl:lncRNA